CUUUCAUUUCAAUGGGAAAGAUGAAGGCAGGAGGUGGGCCGAUCCAGAGCAGGCUUCCGCCGGAUCUGAUCCUACCCUCCAUCUUUAACAGCUGAAGCCCGGAAAGAAAUCCAGGAGCGCGGCUGGUGGAAAUUGGGAAUAUUCUUAAAUCCACGUUCUUGCUCCAGUUAAAAACAAGCAAACGUUUCCUGUUCAGGCAGCUCCGUUUUCGCUUUCUCAAAGUCUGCAGCUCAAUCCGCGCUGCGCACAUAUCCCGGGAAAUAAAUCCUAUUAAGCUCAACCAGGAAACCGUUUACAAAAGGCUCCUGAUCUUAAAAACACCUAACAACGGUGGGUACAUCUGUCAGAUGCAGAGAGGUUUAUACAUGAAAACAAAUUACCAUCCAAUCUGGAAACGGAGUCACUACGAAUGUGUGUGUGACUGUGGGCGCGCAAGAGAUCUUCCGCCUUUCCAGCCCCCAAGAUUCGGGCAAAUUAAUUGCCCAAGCCCCCUAAAAGGCUCUCCUACUGCAAUAUGACAGACAGCCGAUCCACACGUGCAUGUCCAUCGCUCUUGGACUGCACCCUCUAGCCCUCAUUUGCACGUGUGAAGGAACCAGGGCUACUUACCAUCGCAGAUACAACUUUCUUAUCACCCACUGUCAGCUCAGACUCGAUGGGGAGAGGAGGGAGAGGAUUGUGUAAGCUGCUUUGGGUUCCAUGGAAAACCAAGGUGGCAUAUGAAUAUAAUAAUAAAAAGUCUGAGUAUGGUUAGCACUGUUUGUGGCUGCAACUGACUUGCUCAUGCUGUCAGGACAAAAGGAUGCUACCACCAGCAGAGUUUGUUUUGCGAUCCCCCCACAUUAAGUUUUUGUAGCUCAAGUUAUUGGGCAACAAUGAAAAAA